rnacentral:tRNA from 1 species
UGGAGCUCAAUGGGAGAGCACUUGUCUGGCAAGCAUGAGGCUCUGGGUUUGAUGCCCAGCA